rnacentral:misc_RNA from 1 species
GCGGAUGGAUCAUUUUUU